rnacentral:tRNA from 1 species
GCUCCCGUAGCUCAACAGUAGAGCAAUUGCCUUGUAAGCAAUAGGCUGUGGGUGCAAGUCCUACCGGGUGCUCCA